GCCUAUUUCAGCUGCGACCUCGACGCCGGCGGGACGGUGCCAUGGACGCAACUCCGGCUGGAUGGUGCCGCGAACGCAACCCCGGCGUCGCCUACCUCGCUACUUCAUGGUUGAAAGUUAUCUUGUUGUCUGCCUACGGUGGAGAGCCAUUUGCUAUGCUGAUAAUUCCUAGUUGUAUUUUCAUUUAAGGGAUGUGGUGGAUUGUUUCCACAUGUAUAUGAGCUGGUUGUUGUCUUGGAAAUGAUUUAUAUUAUCCGAUGAUGAUCUUAUCAUGUACCUACAUGGUCCUUGA